GACGUAGGGGGCGAGCGUUGUCCGGAUUUAUUGGGCGUAAAGCGUGCGUAGGCGGCUGCGCAAGACAGAUGUGAAAUCCCCGGGCUCAACCUGGGAACUGCAUUUGUGACUGCACGGCUGGAGUGCGGCAGAGGGGGAUGGAAUUCCGCGUGUAGCAGUGAAAUGCGUAGAUAUGCGGAGGAACACCGAUGGCGAAGGCAAUCCCCUGGGCCUGCACUGACGCUGAGGCGCGAAAGCUAGGGGAGCAAACGGG
rnacentral:rRNA from 1 species